GGGGCUGUGGCUCAGGGGCAGAGCGUCCGCUUGGCUUGCGGAUGGUACCGGGUUCAAUCCCCGACAUCUUCA
rnacentral:tRNA from 1 species